CCAGCCCAGCCCUACGGGUGCCGAGUAGGGAGCCUGAGCUCAGUGAGCCUGCGGACUGUCCCUGCAUCCCGCGCGCAGUGGGCGUUACUAACGGACAACUCCUGCCUCUGGGAGCUCAGAUACAGUGAUGCUUCGGGAAUUGUGGACCCUCUUGCCCGUUAUUGACUAAUCCCUCGGACCCAGCCCCUGGUGAUGGUGAAGGUACCGGAAUGUGAAUCUAGGUAGCUGCAAUUGUGGCUCUAGCUAAGGACCGCUCAAAGGCUGUUGGAGAAUGUUUUACUAGCUCGCCUCAGUUUAAACAAAAACAAAACCCAGCCGGGUGGUGGUGGCGCACGCCUUUAAUCCCAGCACUCGGGAGGCAGAGCCAGGCGGAUCUCUGUGAGUUUGAGGUCAGUCUGGGCUACAGAGUGAGUUCCAGGGAAAGUGGAAAGCUACACAGAGAAACCCUGUCUCAAAAAACCAAAAAAGAAAUCAACAACAACAAAAAAUCCGGACCAGACGCACAGAUUCGCUGACUUGACAGUCGAGUAAUAUCGAUCUGAAAAAAAGACAAUUGGUGCACGUUAAUUUGAACCAAAUCUCCUAGGAGCCAAGACUAAAGGAUCAGAGCUCACCAAAGGAGAUCACGAUACGGGGUACGAGUUCCUGAGAACCUGCUGUAAAUACGCCAGCGUAUUUAAUGUCACCUGGAACCUGCAAGUUAGGUAACAUCCAGAUCUCCUUCCCAAAUGAAGGACCAUGGCACAGGUGUCCUUGGAUGGCCUGGAACUCACCACAUGGAACAGCUUGGUUUUGGACUCAUUGGCAGUUAUAUUGCCUCAGCUUCCAGAGUGCUGGGAUUAUAGGCAUGUGCCACCAUACACAGCUCUGUUCUGUAUUUUGAGACAGGGUCUCACAAGCCUCCUGCCCUGGCCUCCAAGAGUGCUGAGUUUUCAGGUGUAUAUGACCACACCCAACUUACUUUUCUGUAUCUUAGGAUGUUUUGGCAUUUCCUAAAGCUUGAAGGCUUCGGGGAGACUUAUGCUUUUAGGGUAGGUCAUUGUUUGGGGCCACAGAAAAAAACGCUCUCUACCAGGGGCGUGGCUAUCCUGAACAAGCCAACCAAUCCUGAGUCUGUAUUCCCAACAACUUCCUGAUUUAAGUCUCACACUCCAGUUUUUCUCUUCCCCUAACUCACCCAGGGCCAGGUAUCAGGCAACCAGCCACCACUCUUGUACCCAGAGCCACUGAACUAUUCCAGUUUGCCAGUGCUGAGCGGCUUCUUGUGCCCAGGUGGGCCUUUUCCUCAGAAAUGCCAGUCAGGACUCUACCUCAGACUUCUCCCACACUCCGCUUUGUUGUUGUAAGAGCCCGGGUUCCUCUGCAACUUUCCACGUAGCCUACUAACCUUGUGAUUCUCCUGCGGCAGGCUCCUGAGUGCUGAGCUUGCAUGUGCACAUCUGCACACUGAGCAUCCUCCCAUCAAUUUGUGUUCUGCUCCUUAGCACAAACUUGGUACUUCCCUUGGCCCUGCCUCGCCGUGGACCACACCCCUCUGUGGGUGAGAUCUGUGACUGUAGAACCAUCUUCCUUCCAAGUUGCCUUCUGAUCCCCUCCUGGGGUUGUAAGAUCUUUACCACCCACUUUCAACAACUGCAUCCUUAAGAAGGACAGGUGUAUAGGAAAGGGGCUGUGGGGGCCUAGGAUAGAUGAUAAGCCAAAUGUCUUAACUCACCUUGAGAAAUAGAUGGAAGAGACUUGGAGACUAUUGGGAAUUCUCCUCUUUCCAUGGAGAUCUUGUUCGGGGGCUGGCAGCAGACUUGACCAUAAGAGUCAGAGGUCCUGGGACCUGAUGACUUGGUCACUACCUGUCACACCAAUAUGCCUCCUAGAGACAAAGAUGAGGGGUUGUUAUUAAGAAAGGAUACUAGGGGCCAGAAGAUGGCUCAGUGGAUAAAUCCUGAUGACCCAAAUUCUACCCCCAAAUCCCAUGUGUUAGAACAAAAAGUUGACUCCUCUGAGUUGUCCUCUGAAGCCUGCAUGCCUACAUAUGUAAGACAAAUGAAUAUGAUGUAGCAUUUAAAGAAGGUCAUAGGACUGAGGAACAAACGCAGUUGGCAGAGUGCUACCCCGAUGUGCAGGAAGCUGUGGGUUCCUUCUGCCAAACUACAUAAAGGGUGGCCAGUAGCUCAGUACUGUACUCCUGCACUCUUGAAGGCUGGAUAGCUGGAUCAGAAGUUAUUGUCUUCUCUGGGGACAUAGUGAAUCCUCUGCUAUCUUGCAAGGCUACCUGAGAUCAUGAAAUGCCAUUAAAGGCUCUCCCUCAGAAUUUCUGCUCAUUCUCAUUCUUUUUAAUUUGUGUGUGUUGUAAAAUGGGGCAACACAUGACUUGGUGCAUAUUGUUCAGGCCACAGGGCCCCCCUGGGCAUUGGAUCUUGUCUUUUACCUUUUCUUGAGGCAAAGUGUCUUGCCCUCCUUUGCCUAUGCCAGGCUGCCUGCCCUCUCACCAGAGGGGAACUGGGAGUACUGCUGUAAAUGUCCUACUUGCUGGGAUUGGAGGCCCACUGAUCACCACAUGCUGAAUUUGGCCCUCAUUAUCUUCUGCCACUUAAUCCAAUCUAGGACUUCCCAUUGACCCUGCCUGCCAUGAAGCGACCCCUCUCCAUGUGAGAUCUGUGACUGCAUAACCAUCUCCCUUCCAAGUCUGCUUCAGGAACUCUCUUGGGAUUCUGAAGGCUUUUACCAUCCCACCUCCAACAUCUGCUCCAACAUCUUCAUCCUUAGUGCACACUGCAGGUGUCAAGGAAAGGGGCUGGGUGGGGCAUAGGACAGAGAACAAACCAGGUAUCUAAUUCACCUCAAGAAAUAGAGGGAAGAGACUUGGGACUUCUUUCUGGAGGGAGAUCCCACUGGUGAAAGAUAAGGAAGGGAAAUGACCACUAAGGUCAGAGGUCCUCUGACAAGAAUGACCUCAGUGAAUCCUAGCAGCACAGCUCAGUCUCCUAAGAGCAAAGGUUCAGCAUUGUUCUUAGAAGAGAUAGGAGGGCUGGGGGGGUCUAACUCAGGGUACAGUACUUGUCUAGUCUGUCUAAAGCCAUGAAUUGAUACUUAACAUCAGCCAAAUAAACUAAGUAUGGUCGCCCCUGCCUGUAAUCCCAGCUCUUGGGGAAGUGGAGGCAGGAGGAGCAGGUCAUCCUUGUUACUAUUCUGAUCCUGCCCUUUGGUGCCACCCUAUGCCCUGACGUAAAAGCUUAUUCUUAAGGAAAAACUCUGCCAAUUUCCCUCUGCUCAAUUCCACCUCGAGGUGAGCACCUCUGGAACCCCUCGCCCCUCCGCCCCCGCCUCUAUCUCUCUCCCCUCUCUCUUACCCCCACCAAAUAAAACUCUUCACUGAGUGCCAUCAGCAUGGCAUCUCUGUCUCUCACCCACCGUGGGGCACCUUGGCUCUACCUACCCCAGCCCUCAGACCAGGACCUCUUGCCAGCAUGUGUAAUUCAUAACAACCCUGUGCUACCUGCAAGGUUGAGGUCAGCCAGGGCUACCUGAAUCCCGGUCUCAGAAAAGUUAAAGGAAAGUCAACAAAACAAAGGGGAUUGCAGAGGAGUGCUCAGGAUGGUGUCAGAACCCAGAUCUUCUAGCUGCUGCUCCCUUCCCCCCCCAAUCAGGCCACACCCCCAGCAGUCUCUCAAGGCCAGGUACAGAGAUCUGCAGUGACCUGACAGCCCUUAGGGAGUUUGGUUCUCUCUAUCCCCAUUAAGGCUGGAAGCCCAGUCCCUCUGAUACCCAGACAACCUCGAAUUAAAUGAAUGAGAGCAACAUCCUCGUCUCCCAUUGUUCUCUGGAAUUGAACUGCCUGUCUCUUUCCCUUCAGGAUCCCCAUCAUGCUAUAGUGGUGGCUGUCUUUCCUCUGCUCUCCUAAUUCAGACCCCAUCAUGGCUGCUUCUGUCCAUGAGCCUGUGGCUCUCUCUCCCUAAUAAAGCUCUAAAGGUGAACCAC